CUACAUUCGUGUCAGAUCUUUCUUGUGAAUCACUUCUAUUAUCAAAAUGUAUAAAGUUAUUCUAGUUUUUAUCGUUACGAUUAUUACAUUUUGUACGGCACAGGUGAACUUCUCUCCUAAUUGGGGUAAAAGAGCUCUUAAUCCUGGAGAUGAAAAUGACAACAAUUGCAGAGAAAAUAUGGAUACCCUUAUGCUCAUCUAUAAAAUUAUUCAGAAUGAGGCCCAAAAACUGAUGGAAUGUGAAAAAUUUUCCAACUAAAUUUUCGUACUGUGUCCAUGUGAGAAUAUGUUUGUAGAAAAAUAAAUUAUUAUGAAUAUAAUGUGUACUUGAUUUAGUUUAAAUAAACUGCAUAAAUAGGCUGGAAA